GCAGAUCUGGGGUGGGACCCAAGCAUUUGCAUUUCUAACAAGGAGAAGCUGAUGCUGCUGGUCCAGGGACCACACUUUGAGAACCAAUGUAAUGAUUAAGGAGACAACAGGAAAGAAGGACCAGAGCUGAUCUGUGCCAAAACACCUUUCAGAAACUUCCCAGGAAAGAGUUUAUGGAACAUACAUUUUUCAAAUGUUGGCAUGACUAGUGAUGUCUUUAUUCUACAUUCAUCUUUGAAUGUUAGUUUGAUUUGAAUGAUAAAAUGUUAUUUUGACGGUCAUUUGUUUUUAGAAAUUUGAAGGUAUUUUCUCAUUGAAAAUUUUGUUCAUUGUGUUAAAAUAAACAUAACAUGAAAUCCACCAUUUUAACAAAAAUGUACAAUGUACUGCCACUAAGUAUAUUCACAUUGCUGUGCAACCAUUACCACUAUCCAUUUCCAGAACAUUUUCAUCAUCCCAAACAGAAAGUCUGCCCCUAUUAUAUAACUCUCCACUUCCUCUCUCCCUUUGUCCUGUGGUAACCACCAUUCCACUGUGUCCCUAUGCAUUUACUUAUUCUAGAUACCUCAUGUUGCCAGAAGUCAGGGACCCCGAAUGGAGGGACUGGCUGGAGCUGCGGCAGAGGAACAUAAAUUUUGAAGAUUUCAUUUUGAUAUGGACAUUUAUGAGUUCCCAAAUAAUACUUUUAUAAUUUCUUACACCUGUCUUUAAUCUCUUAAUCCUGUUAUCUACGUAAACUGAGGAUGUACGUCACCUCAGGACCACUGUGAUAAUGAUGUCAACUGUACAAAUUGAUCAUAAAACAUGUGUGUUUGAACAAUAUGAAAUCAGUGCACCUUGAAAAAGAACAGAAUAACAGCAAUUUUUAGGGAACAAGGGAAGACAACCAUAAGGUCUGACUGCCUGCAGGGUCAGGCAAAAAGAGCCAUAUUUUUCUUCUUGCAGAGAGCCUAUAAAUGGACCUGCAAGUAGGAGAGAUAUUACUAAAUUAUUUUCUUAGCCAGGAAUAUUAAUAACCUGGGAAAGGAAUGCAUUCCUGGGGGGAAGUCUAUAAACAGCUGCUCUGCGAGUGUCUGUCUUAUGCAGUUGAGAUAAGGACUGAGAUACACCCUGGUCUCCUGCAGUACCUUCAGGCUUACUAGGGUGGGGAAAAACUCCACCCUGGUAAAUUUGUGGUCAGACCGGUUCUCUGCUCUCCAACCCUGUUUUCUGUUGUUUAAGGGUUUAUCAAGACGAUAAGUGCAUAGACCCUUAUCAGUAGUUCUGUUUUUGCCCUUGGCCUUGUGAUCUUUGUUGGACCCUUAUCAGUAGUUCUGCUUUUGCCCUUUGCCUUGUGAUCUUUGUUGGACCCUUAUCAGUAGUUCUGCUUUUGUCUUUUGUCCUGUUCCCUCAGAAGCAUGUGAUCUUUGUUAGACCCUUAUUAGUAGUUCUGCUUUUUGCCCUUUGAAGCAUGUGAUCUUUGUACCUACUCCGUGUUUUACACCUGUGAUCUUUGUACCUACUCCCUGUUUUACACCCCCUCCCCUUUUGAAAUCCUUAAUAAAAAACUUGCUGGUUUGAGGCUCAGGUGGGCAUCACGGUCCUACCAAUAUGUGAUGUCACCCCCGGCAGCCCAGAUGUAAAAUUCUUCUCUUUGUACUCUUUCUCUUUAUUUCUCAGCCGGUCGACACUUAUGGAAAAUAGAAAGAACCUACGAUGAAAUACUGGGGACAGCUUCCCCCGAUAACCUCACAUAAAUGGAAUGGUACAAUACUUAUCUUUUGGUGCAUGACUUAUUUCACUUGACAUAAUGUUUUC
rnacentral:lncRNA from 10 species